rnacentral:ribozyme from 1 species
UGCCCAGCAACUCCUAUCCCUACCUCCUCGUAGUACGUGGCUGGAAACUACGAGCAACCUUAGGGAAGAUCGGGUAACCAACCCCGGUGGGGACUUUGGUCGUAGGCUGGCAGGGAAGG